GCUGGACAAUGACAAGGAGCUCUUGUCAUUAAGUUUGGGGUACAGUGGCAGACUGCUGCGUCCGAGGCAGGGGCCCUCAGUUCUGGCCCAUGCCCCACCUCUAGCUGUGUGAUCUUCAGCCAAAGCUCAGCCUCUCUGGAUUUGGGCCUGGUAUCAGAGCUUGAGCAGAUGAGCUCUGAGCACCUUUCUGCCCCAGAGCUGUGGCAGCUGGCCAAGCUCCUGGGAAAAGCCACCCAGUUCCCUACUACACACCAGGGAGGAAUCAUUUCACUUGUCCACUCUUCUCUUUUGUUACAGGUGAGGUCUUCUGGGGUCAACUGGACUCAUAAGGCAGGAGGGACCUCAUUUUUCAGAGAAGGAAUGCCUAGAUUAUCAACAGAACUGUGCCCCAAGACCCAGGGAGACCUCCCUGCCCCAGUGCCUAUUAGAAUGACAAAAGGUGUGGACCCAAGCCCAGAUGACCAGGGCUCUGCCUGGAAGUGCCAGGCCAGGACCCUGGGUCUGUAGAGUCUCUGCCAUUGCAAAGGAUGAGCCAGAUGGAAAAAUUCAGCAUGGAGCUGUAUCCCUGAGCCAAGAGGGCACCCCCUUCCCCGUUGGGGGAGCGAUGGCUUGGGAACAAGCCCCCCGCCCCAUGCUCCAGUGCAUCUAGCUGCCUUUGGCCACCAUCCUGAAACAGCAGGGAGCAGGCUUCCUCUUUCCUCACACCCUGGAACCCAGUGAUUGCUGACCAGGAAGCAGAACCUUCCAAGCCUUAGGCUUGCAUCCUGCCUCUCAGCCAAGACCUGUCUCCUCAGUCAUCUGAAACCACCCUACCACGCCAGACUCUCCCUCUGUCUUCUUGCUAUUCCAGCUCUCUCUUCUUCCCACUUCCUAUUUUCUCUCCAUUUUGUUCAAACUCCAUGAACAAGAACAACAGAGCUCAGACAGCGAAAGCCUCCCCAUCCCAGCUGUAUGCAAAUUCCCAGCAGGCUGAAAGGACCACCCGCCCACCCAAGACCACCUCCCAGGAAGCCGAGGCCUUGUGCGGAGCCCCAGAGGCGCUUGAGCUGAUUGGAGAAUGGGUUGAGGUGGGUGGGACCCAUCACUGUUCUUCCCUUCUCAUUCCUGUGGUUCCCUGAAGAGUCUCUGGGGCCUGCUUUUCCCCCCAGCAGAGACGGAUGUGUCACAUUUAUGGCGUCCCAUUUCCUUCACAGAGAGGCUAUAGAUCCUGUUUCAUUCUGGUGUAUUUAAUUCACUCCAUAGGAAUCAAUAAAAACUUUAAGUAAAAAAAAAAGGCAAAAUCCAA